rfam:Rhizophagus irregularis DAOM 197198w jcf7180003191559, whole genome shotgun sequence.
GCUCCUUUAGCUCAGUUGGUUAGAGCGUCGUGCUAAUAGAACUUGAUCAAAGUUCUAACGCGAAGGUCACAAGUUCGACCCUUGUAAGGAGCA